rnacentral:lncRNA from 1 species
GGAGGAAGCUUGGGGACGUCGGCUUCCAUGGCAGAUGGGGGAGGCGCCCGUCUGGGGCUCGGCGGAGCUGACCGGUGGUGCAGCCAGCGCCGGCAAGCACGAUGGUAGCGGUGGCAGUGGCUAGCAGCGUGGCAGACGGCGAAUAAAGCGGAGGACGAUCACAGCAACUCACCGCUGUAGAAGGAGUUUCCGACGACCAUUUCGAGCGAUUCUGGUCUCAAAAUGACCAGUGAGGUGCAAGCCUUCUUUUCCGGCCUUAAUCGCGUUGUGGGAUUGCCGGAAAAGAAAGUUGCAGCGAAGGGAAGUUUUCAUCAGCAGCUCGAUUUUUAAGCUUUUCUGGCCAUCUCCGAAGAGGCUAGGCUGAUCAGAGCUCAUCAACGGACUCUCCUCAGCUCAAGCUUCGCAUUGGCACCAGUUUCGUGGCGAUCGGGCUUCGUUUGUGAAUCGACGGCCAUCGGAAAAUCAGAAGCGGGGAUCGUCAUCAGCGCGUCGUUGUGAGUCCGAUGGUGUGUUCGGAUCGUAGAUCGGACUCCGGCGGCCAGAGGCGAGUCGACCGAGCGAUCGAGCGUCUCGGUAAUUUUCUCUGGCCGUUGAUCUUGGAAAUUCUUUGAUUUUAAAUUUAUGUCUAUUGGUUUAUGUUGAGAAUUGGAUGAUAUUUGUGAGUCAAAAAUAAUUGUCGGUCAGUUUGCCUGCCUCGUAUUUUAUGUUGUGUGGCGGAGUCGGAAAAUAGUGAAGUUUGGGGAUCCGACUCCCGUUGUUUGAAUUGUUGGAUAUUUGAAGUAUUUUUCUGGCAGGUCCUGGACCCGUUUUUACGAGGGGUAAUGUCCGUGUUGUAGGGGAGGUUUUGCCGGAUUUUCGGUAGAAUUCUUCCGAGUCGAGAUUCUUAGACAGUCAGUCUUAGGAAUCUAGGCCUAGGAUUAAUGGUUAAUUAUUUCCGCGUUUUGAUAAAUUAUUUUCCAUUACUAGAUAAUCCGUUUGUUUGACUCGCUCCAACCGAGGCACCGGAGCAGAGUUAGGAGGUCGUUAAAUCUGUGAGUUAAAGUCAUAUAUCGUUUAUACACGUGUCAUGCAUAAAAUUUGAUUUGCUACUGUGAUUGUUCAUUUGCAAUUUCAAUUAUUCAUUUAAUUAUUAUUAUAUGUAUAAUGCUUUUUAAUUACUAUUUAAAUAUGUUCUUCCUUUAUCACAAAUUUUAAUAUUGCAUGAUGACUCGGGAUGGGACGGCAGUAGAACAUAGGAGUUGGAUGAGUGCUCCGAUAUAAAUUUGAGAGAGAUAGAGAAAGAGUAAAUAGGUAAAAUUUUAAGAAAGAAAGAUUUAGACCUGCCCUGGUCGAGCAUCGCUUUCUAGGCUAGUAGAGUGUGUUUGCCGGAGUAAAGGUCCCUGAUCGAGCUUUGCUCUCUGGACGCCAGUCCUGUUGGAAUGAGAAAGUUGAGAUACAAGUGACCAGGCUGGAGGUAAGGUCCCUGAUCGAGCUUUGCUCUCUGGGCGCCAGUCCUGUUAGAAUGAGAGAGUUGAGAUAUUAGAGUUGAGCUUUGCUCUCCGUCCCGUUGCGUGUGGAAUAAUUUUUGUUUAAGCAUGGCAUGACACAUAUGCUUUAACAUGACACGUAUGGUUUGCGUGAUUUAUUAAUUAUUUUAAAAUUUAAUGAAUGUGAUAUUGAGAUGUUUGAAACUGUUUUAGAUAUAUGAUUUUAGCUCACUCUCGAGACUGACAGUCUCCAUUUACUGUUUUUCAGAUUCGUGACUGUUAGUCUUCCCGCAACUCUCAUUCAGUAACCCGACUCCUUCAUCAUCGGGUGGUGUUUGAUUUGGUAUAUCAAAUUGUAAAAAUCUUAGAUCCUCCGUAGUAGUAAUAAUAAGGAUAUCAGUGGUAGUUUUCUGUAAUUUCGGGUCUCGCCUAAUUUUUCUGGCAGACCGAAGUAUUUAUGUAGAAUGUAACUAUUAAGAUAAUUUGUGGCUUAAAUAAUAUUAAUUUGAGAUGAGAUUUGAUUGAGUUAGUGAGUGUCAGACUUAUUACGGGAUUCGGUAACCUUAAGUCUACCCAUUCCCUAGUGCCGGUCACGGGCUCACGGAUGGGAUCGUGACAGAUACAGACAG